GUCGGAGGUGGAAGUGCGGUAACGUAUGGAGCUGACCGAUACUAAUAGGUCGAGGUCUUGACCA
rnacentral:rRNA from 1 species